rnacentral:rRNA from 1 species
GAUGAACGCUAGCUACAGGCUUAACACAUGCAAGUCGAGGGGAAACGGCAUUGAGUGCUUGCACUGAAUGGACGUCGACCGGCGCACGGGUGAGUAACGCGUAUCCAACCUUCCCAUUACUGUGGGAUAACCUGCCGAAAGGCAGACUAAUACCUCAUAGUCUUCGAUGACGGCAUCAGAUUUGAAGUAAAGAUUUAUCGGUAAUGGAUGGGGAUGCGUCUGAUUAGCUUGUUGGCGGGGUAACGGCCCACCAAGGCAACGAUCAGUAGGGGUUCUGAGAGGAAGGUCCCCCACAUUGGAACUGAGACACGGUCCAAACUCCUACGGGAGGCAGCAGUGAGGAAUAUUGGUCAAUGGACGGAAGUCUGAACCAGCCAAGUAGCGUGCAGGAUGACGGCUCUAUGGGUUGUAAACUGCUUUUGUAUGGGGAUAAAGUCAAUCACGUGUGAUUGUUUGCAGGUACCAUACGAAUAAGGACCGGCUAAUUCCGUGCCAGCAGCCGCGGUAAUACGGAAGGUUCGGGCGUUAUCCGGAUUUAUUGGGUUUAAAGGGAGCGUAGGCCGGAGAUUAAGUGUGUUGUGAAAUGUAGACGCUCAACGUCUGAAUUGCAGCGCAUACUGGUUUCCUUGAGUACGCACAACGUUGGCGGAAUUCGUCGUGUAGCGGUGAAAUGCUUAGAUAUGACGAAGAACUCCGAUUGCGAAGGCAGCUGACGGGAGCGCAACUGACGCUUAAGCUCGAAGGUGCGGGUAUCAAACAGG